UACGUAGGGGGCAAGCGUUGUCCGGAUUUAUUGGGCGUAAAUGAGCGUGUAGGCGGCUAGGUAGGUCCGUUGUGAAAACUCGACGGCUCAACCUCGAGAACGCCGGCUGAAACCCUCUGGCUAGAGUCCGAAGAGGAGAGCGGAAUUCCUGGUGUAGCGGUGAAAUGCGCAGAUAUCAGGAGGAACACCGGUGGCGAAGGCGGGUCUCUGGGCCGAUACUGACGCUGGAGGAGCGAAAGCGUGGGGAGCGAACAGG
rnacentral:rRNA from 1 species